CCACUAAGCUGUCAGCCUGCUGUUUACCUGGGUGUCCAUGUCUGUUUGCUCUGGAGGAGGCUGUAAAGCUUCUGGAAAGGAAUCUACUGAGGUGAGGAGCUGUGUCGAAAAGUCUAAACUUGUUAUGAUACUCUUGGAUAGUGCGUUUGUCUGCCUUGUGCAUGAGGCACUGCCUCAGGGUUACCUCCUGGGCUAAUUGUGAUAAAUCCACCCCUGCUUUCACUCUAAACUCGCCCUCCUUUGUGGCAAAACCCAGCCAUGUAAUGAAACCCUAAUGAACCCGUCAGUCCAACUGUCACUUAUUCUCACCUGGGUUCACA